AGAAAAGCCUCUAGAUAGAAAAUAGGUGCCCGUACCGCAAACCGACACAGGUAGUCAAGAUGAGAAUUCUAAGGUGAGCGAGCGAACUCUCGUUAAGGAACUCGGCAAAAUGACCCCGUAACUUCGGGAGAAGGGGUGCUCUUUAGGGUUAACGCCCAGAAGAGCCGCAGUGAAUAGGCCCAAGCGACUGUUUAUCAAAAACACAGGUCUCUGCUAAACCGUAAGGUGAUGUAUAGGGGCUGACGCCUGCCCGGUGCUGGAAGGUUAAGAGGAGUGGUUAGCUUCUGCGAAGCUACGAAUCGAAGCCCCAGUAAACGGCGGCCGUAACUAUAACGGUCCUAAGGUAGCGAAAUUCCUUGUCGGGUAAGUUCCGACCCGCACGAAAGGCGUAACGAUUUGGGCACUGUCUCAACGAGAGACUCGGUGAAAUCAUAGUACCUGUGAAGAUGCAGGUUACCCGCGACAGGACGGAAAGACCCCGUGGAGCUUUACUGUAGCCUGAUAUUGAAAUUCGGCACAGCUUGUACAGGAUAGGUAGGAGCCUUUGAAACGUGAGCGCUAGCUUACGUGGAGGCGCUGGUGGGAUACUACCCUAGCUGUGUUGGCUUUCUAACCCGCACCACUUAUCGUGGUGGGAGACAGUGUCAGGCGGGCAGUUUGACUGGGGCGGUCGCCUCCUAAAAGGUAACGGAGGCGCUCAAAGGUUCCCUCAGAAUGGUUGGAAAUCAUUCAUAGAGUGUAAAGGCAUAAGGGAGCUUGACUGCGAGACCUACAAGUCGAGCAGGGUCGAAAGACGGACUUAGUGAUCCGGUGGUUCCGCAUGGAAGGGCCAUCGCUCAACGGAUAAAAGCUACCCCGGGGAUAACAGGCUUAUCUCCCCCAAGAGUUCACAUCGACGGGGAGGUUUGGCACCUCGAUGUCGGCUCAUCGCAUCCUGGGGCUGUAGUCGGUCCCAAGGGUUGGGCUGUUCGCCCAUUAAAGCGGUACGCGAGCUGGGUUCAGAACGUCGUGAGACAGUUCGGUCCCUAUCCGUCGUGGGCGUAGGAAAUUUGAGAGGAGCUGUCCUUAGUACGAGAGGACCGGGAUGGACAUACCUCUGGUGUACCAGUUGUCGUGCCAACGGCAUAGCUGGGUAGCUAUGUGUGGACGGGAUAAGUGCUGAAAGCAUCUAAGCAUGAAGCCCCCCUCAAGAUGAGAUUUCCCAACUUCGGUUAUAAGAUCCCUCAAAGAUGAUGAGGUUAAUAGGUUCGAGGUGGAAGCAUGGUGACAUGUGGAGCUGACGAAUACUAAUCGAUCGAAGACUUAAUC
rnacentral:rRNA from 1 species